rnacentral:rRNA from 1 species
AUACGAAGGGGGCUAGCGUUGUUCGGAAUUACUAGGCGUAAAGAGUACGUAGGCGGUUGCUUAAGUCAGAUGUGAAAGCCCCGGGCUCAACCUGGGAACUGCAUUUGAAACUGAGUGACUAGAGUUUAAGAGAGGGGAGUAGAAUUCCGGGUGUAGCGGUGAAAUGCGUAGAGAUCCGGAGGAAUACCAGUGGCGAAGGCGGCUCCCUGGCUUAAAACUGACGCUGAGGUACGAAAGCGUGGGUAGCAAACAGGAUUAGAAACCCUAGUAGUCC